GACGGAGGGUGCUAGCGUUGUUCGGAAUUACUGGGCGUAAAGGGCGCGUAGGCGGCCUGGUCAGUCGGGUGUGAAAGCCCGGGGGCUCAACCCCCGGAACGGCACCCGAGACGGCCAGGCUGGAGACCGGGAGAGGAGGGUGGAAUAGCCAGUGUAGAGGUGAAAUUCGUAGAUAUUGGCUGGAACACCGGUGGCGAAAGCGGCUCUCUGGCCCGGUUCUGACGCUGAGGCGCGAAAGCGUGGGGAGCAAACAGGG
rnacentral:rRNA from 1 species